AUGCUGUAGAUGACACCAUAUACCAGCUCACUUAUAAAUCUUUUAUAUCAAUUUUCUGCGUCUAUUUUCUAAGGAGAAAACUGAGAAAGGCUUCCUAUACAUGUCUGACAGUUCGCAGAGAUCAAAACACUUACAACGAAAUAACAACUCAUUUGUCUGAUGCAGACCAAUAUCACGAGAUUUUACCAUUAUCUGAAAUGUCUGCCUCAGGGUCCCGACCACCCUGCUCACCAAGCAUUGAUCGAAAACAAAACGUGGAUUCGUCUGGAUAUCUUAUUCUCUCUAGCUCGUUCAAGAGAAAUGAAAAACAAUGUGAUUCAACAUGACACUACUUCGAAACUAAUUUCUCGUUUUUGUUUUGGCAUACACAAGGAAUAUAUUAACACUAUUAAAUACCCAGAAAAUUUCAAGGACAAAGAGAUUAGAAAGGAG
rnacentral:lncRNA from 1 species